rnacentral:rRNA from 1 species
UACGACUACAUAUCAGGCAUAUCAAUAAGUGGAGGAAAAGAAACUAGCAAGGAUUCCCCUAGUAACGGCGAGUGAAGCGGGAAGAGCUCAAAUUUGAAAUCUUCAAGGGUUUACCUUGACGAAUUGUAGUUUAUAGAAGUGUUUUCUGUUAGAGGAGGUGGUAAAAGUUCUUUGGAAUAGGGACAUCAUAGAGGAGUGAGAAUCCCGUAUUUGACCUAUUCUUUCUAGCUUUGUGAUACACUUUCAAAGAGUCGGAUUGUUUGGGAAUGCAGUCCAAAAUGGGUGGUAAAUUUAUCUAAAGCUAAAUAUUGGCGAGAGACCGAUAGCGAACAAGUACCGUGAGGGAAAGAUGAAAAGAACUUUGAAAAGAGAGUUAAACAGUACGUGAAAUUGUCAAAAGGGAAGCGUUUGACACCAGUGUUGUUUUUCCGAAAAUCAAUUAAGAAGGGCUUGAUUCUGUGUUGUAUUGACCUUAUCAGCUUUCUUCACUCUUUUUCGAGUCUUUCUUAAUGCACUUUUCGGUUAACAAGUCAACAUCAAUUUCUUUUGUUGUAAAAGGGUAUUUGGAAGGUGGCUUUCUUUUCGGAGAAAGUGUUUAUAGCCUCAUACCUCUACAAUCGGAGAGAUUGAGGUCUGCAGCGUAGAUCCUUCGGGGCUAGAUACACUUGUGCUAAGUUAUAGCUUUUCAUAGACAACUUGUUGACUAUGUUUAGUCAUGUAGCUUACCCGCUUGUGCUAUUUUACCUACGCUUAGGAUGUUGAUCUACAGAGCGAGAGU